rnacentral:rRNA from 1 species
ACGCUGGCGGCAGGCCUAACACAUGCAAGUCGAACGGUAACAGGAAGAAGCUUGCUUCUUUGCUGACGAGUGGCGGACGGGUGAGUAAUGUCUGGGAAACUGCCUGAUGGAGGGGGAUAACUACUGGAAACGGUAGCUAAUACCGCAUAACGUCGCAAGACCAAAGAGGGGGACCUUCGGGCCUCUUGCCAUCGGAUGUGCCCAGAUGGGAUUAGCUUGUUGGUGGGGUAACGGCUCACCAAGGCGACGAUCCCUAGCUGGUCUGAGAGGAUGACCAGCCACACUGGAACUGAGACACGGUCCAGACUCCUACGGGAGGCAGCAGUGGGGAAUAUUGCACAAUGGGCGCAAGCCUGAUGCAGCCAUGCCGCGUGUAUGAAGAAGGCCUUCGGGUUGUAAAGUACUUUCAGCGGGGAGGAAGGGAGUAAAGUUAAUACCUUUGCUCAUUGACGUUACCCGCAGAAGAAGCACCGGCUAACUCCGUGCCAGCAGCCGCGGUAAUACGGAGGGUGCAAGCGUUAAUCGGAAUUACUGGGCGUAAAGCGCACGCAGGCGGUUUGUUAAGUCAGAUGUGAAAUCCCCGGGCUCAACCUGGGAACUGCAUCUGAUACUGGCAAGCUUGAGUCUCGUAGAGGGGGGUAGAAUUCCAGGUGUAGCGGUGAAAUGCGUAGAGAUCUGGAGGAAUACCGGUGGCGAAGGCGGCCCCCUGGACGAAGACUGACGCUCAGGUGCGAAAGCGUGGGGAGCAAGCAGGAUUAGAUACCCUGGUAGUCCACGCCGUAAACGAUGUCGACUUGGAGGUUGUGCCCUUGAGGCGUGGCUUCCGGAGCUAACGCGUUAAGUCGACCGCCUGGGGAGUACGGCCGCAAGGUUAAAACUCAAAUGAAUUGACGGGGCCCGCACAAGCGGUGGAGCAUGUGGUUUAAUUCGAUGCAACGCGAAGAACCUUACCUGGUCUUGACAUCCACAGAACUUUCCAGAGAUGGAUUGGUGCCUUCGGGAACUGUGAGACAGGUGCUGCAUGGCUGUCGUCAGCUCGUGUUGUGAAAUGUUGGGUUAAGUCCCGCAACGAGCGCAACCCUUAUCCUUUGUUGCCAGCGGUCCGGCCGGGAACUCAAAGGAGACUGCCAGUGAUAAACUGGAGGAAGGUGGGGAUGACGUCAAGUCAUCAUGGCCCUUACGACCAGGGCUACACACGUGCUACAAUGGCGCAUACAAAGAGAAGCGACCUCGCGAGAGCAAGCGGACCUCAUAAAGUGCGUCGUAGUCCGGAUUGGAGUCUGCAACUCGACUCCAUGAAGUCGGAAUCGCUAGUAAUCGUGGAUCAGAAUGCCACGGUGAAUACGUUCCCGGGCCUUGUACACACCGCCCGUCACACCAUGGGAGUGGGUUGCAAAAGAAGUAGGUAGCUUAACCUUCGGGAGGGCGCUUACCACUUUGUGAUUCAUGACUGGGGUGAAG